GUGAUAGACUGCUGGUAACUCUUCACAUUUAAAAAAAAAAUGUACCACCUACUUUUUAUUUACUACUGAAGUUUGCCUGUAGUCUUGUGGCACAUGAAUUGUAAGAAUGCUGGCUAUAUUUGAUAAUUCAAUAAUUUUUAGUUGCAGGGCAUUGAAGAAAUGUUGGAGGAUAGUCAAGGAACCACUCCUUCAUAUACUUUUAGCAAUGGAAAACCGGAUUAUGGUGAUAUGUUUGACGCCGAAGAGGGGUUUUUUCAUGGACUCACCACCUCUGUUAGCAAUGGCUUCAAUGGCGUCAAUUCUGGUUGGAGCAGUGCUUUUAGUGAUCUUAUUUCAGAUCUGUACAGUCAAGCUGAGCAGAUAUCCACUGUAAAUUCUACUCGACAACCCACUGCAAAUGAAUUUAGUUCAACUCAGUUGGGCCUGAAUUCAGAUUUAGUAAAUGGUGAUGAUGAUUUGGAUGAAAAUGACUGGGAAUUCAAGGAUGCCUUCUAAGAAGGCACAGUUGGAAAUGGGAAUCCUGAAUUUGAGAUUGUAGAUGCACAUCAAAACUUUUCCGCUGAACUAAAGCUAAAGAAUUUUGUAGGUUUCUACUCUAAAUUGAAAGACGAAGCACGAUUUUUCAUACUUGACCAUCUUGAUGAUCUCAAGAAAGCCAAGAAGGAUGCUGCUCUUUCUAGUGAUGAAGUAAAGGUUAUGGCCUUUGAUAAGGAAAUUCAGUUCACUUUUGGGGGUGUGGUAUUUCUUCCUUAGGAUGCUUCAGUUUAGUAAUUCCAGGUUUGUGCUAGUAUAAGUAUGAAAUACAAUAUACAGGUCACCUAGAACUUCAAUUAUUUUACUUGGGCUAAUGAUGGUUAAUCAUCUACAUUGUUGGAGCUACUUUUGUAGCCUACUUGUGCUGCUGUCUUCAAUGUCACUCAGUUGUCGUAUACCUGGUUGUUUAGUACAUAAGGCUGUGAUCAGGAGUUGAGUAUCAGUUGUUUACUAAUGGGAUCUAUUUUGGGUAGGAUAUGGAUUAAAAGGUUGUGAAUUAAACAAGUUUCUAUUAGGAAGCAUAAUGCUAGUAUUUCAAGUCAGACAUGGACCAGAAUCGGUUCCCAGAGUUGUCCAUACAUCAUCCAACUGGAUUCAAUUAGCUUGAGGAGAGGCUCCUAAUCUGCUUUAAUUUGACAUUUGUUCCGUUUCAGCCAAUGGAGAUAUAUGUGGAUGAUGAGGCCAAGUUGACCUUGCAUGGUCUC